rnacentral:rRNA from 1 species
UGCCGCGUGAGUGAAGAAGGCCUUCGGGUUGUAAAGCUCUUUUGUCAGGGACGAUAAUGACGGUACCUGAAGAAUAAGCCCCGGCAAACUUCGUGC